CAAUAGCGUAUAUUAAAGUUGUUGCGGUAAAAAGCUCGUAGUUGGAUUUCUGUCGAGAACAGCCGGUCACGAUUUUGUCGUUGUAUCUGGUUUGGUCUUGGCAUCCUCUUGGGGAACAUUUCUGCGCUUCACUGCGUGGAGUGGUAUUCAAGACUUUUACUUUGAGGAAAUUAGAGUGUUCACGGCAGGCAAUCGCCCUGAAUAUAUUAGCAUGGAAUAAUGAUAUAGGACCUUGGUUCUAUUUUGUUGGUUUCUAGAACUAAGGUAAUGAUUAAUAGGGACAAUUGGGGGCAUUCGUAUUAACGCGUCAGAGGUGGAAUUCUUAGAUUGCGUUACGACGAACUACUGCGAAAGCAUUUGCCAAGGAUGUUUUCAUUGAUCAAGAACGAAAGUAAGGGGAUCGAAGAUGAUUAGAUACCGU
rnacentral:rRNA from 1 species